rnacentral:rRNA from 1 species
GAUGAACGCUGGCGGCGUGCCUAAUACAUGCAAGUCGAGCGAACGGACGAGAAGGUUGCUUCUCUGAUGUUAGCGGCGAACGGGUGAGUAACACGUGGAUAACCUACCUAUAAGACUGGGAUAACUUCGGGAAACUGGAGCUAAUACCGGAUAAUAUUUUUAACCGCAUGGUUCAAAAGUGAAAGACGGUCUUGCUGUCACUUAUAGAUGGAUCCGCGCUGCAUUAGCUAGUUGGUAAGGUAACGGCUUACCAAGGCAACGAUGCAUAGCCGACCUGAGAGGAUGAUCGGCCACACUGGAACUGAGAAACGGUACAGACUCCUACGGGAGGCAGCAGUAGGGAAUCUUCCGCCAUGGGCGAAAGCCAGACGGAGCAACGCCGCGUGAGUGAUGAAGGUCUUCGGAUCGUAAAACUCUGUUAUUAGGGAAGAACAUAUGUGUAAGUAACUGUGCACAUCUUGACGGUACCUAAUCAGAAAGCCACGGCUAACUACGUG